rnacentral:rRNA from 1 species
CGCGUAGGUGGCCUGUGGAAGUCUGCGGUGAAAGUCCGGCGCUCAACGCCGGAUCGGCCGUGGAUACUCUCGGGCUUGAGCUUACUAGAGGCAGAUGGAAUUCCGGGUGUAGCGGUGGAAUGCGUAGAGAUCCGGAAGAACACCGGUGGCGAAGGCGGUCUGCUGGGGUAAUGCUGACACUGAUGCGCGACAGCGUGGGGAGCAAACA